rnacentral:rRNA from 1 species
UACGGGGGGGAGCAAGCGUUGUUCGGAUUUACUGGGCGUAAAGGGCGCGUAGGCGGCCACCGCAAGUCAGUUGUGAAAGCUCUGGGCUUAACCCAGAAAGGUCAACUGAUACUGCGGGGCUAGAGUGCAGAAGGGGCAACUGGAAUUCUCGGUGUAGCGGUGAAAUGCGUAGAUAUCGAGAGGAACACCUGCGGCGAAGGCGGGUUGCUGGGCUGACACUGACGCUGAGGAGCGAAAGCGUGGGUAGCAACAGG